rnacentral:lncRNA from 1 species
UUUUUUUUUCAUGUUGAAUGGAUGAUUUUAAGAAAAUUCACAUUGAUAUUUUAUCGAGAAUAGUUAAUUGUUAGCUACACGGACUAACUAAUUCUAUUAUAAAAAUAGAGAGAUCAAAUUAUGUCAAAUUAAAGUAAAGAGAUUAUAUUUCAAAUUUAAGUAUAAUAGAGGGAUUAACCUUAUAAAUUUAACCAAAAAAGAUCUAUAAAUUCAAAUAUAUAUAUAUAUAUAUAUAUAUAUAUAUAUUGAGNNNNNNNNNNNNNNNNNNNNNNNNNNNNNNNNNNNNNNNNNNNNNNNNNNNNNNNNNNNNNNNNNNNNNNNNNNNNNNNNNNNNNNNNNNNNNNNNNNNNAUAUUUGAGAAUUUACAACUACACCAGUGUAAUCACAAAUAUAUAUACGUGAAGAAAUUAUAAAAUAGAAUACACCAAUACAAAACACAAACUAAUUAAAAAGUAAUAACUAAUAAUCUGGAUAAAAUCUCGUACAUGGCAACAACAGAUGGUAGGAUUUAGGUGCAAAGUCAAAAAUUUUGUUUAGGAGUUAAGAUAAUAUUAUAAUUUAUUUUUGGGGAAGCUAAAAAUUUGUAUUAUAAAUACUUAAAUUAAAUUAUUAAAUUUUCAAAAGGGCUAAAAUUAUAAAAAUGAUUAAAUUGAAUCUUUUAAUUUUAGGGAAGGACUAUAAAACAAUUUUUCCAUUGAGCCAAGAGGAGGCGAAGGCUAAGGCUCAUGCCCCCUUUGCUAUGCCCAUACUAUGACUAGAGAACCACGCAUGGUAAUUGCGCGGCCAGUCUCCAAUAACUGAUUUUAAAAAUAAAAUAAAAUACAACCUAAAUUAUAAUUACAAAUAAUACACAUUCGAAUUUUUAUCAACAAAAUUAAUCAUUGCAAAGUGAACCAGACCAAUUGAUUAAAUUAAGAAUCGGGUGAAACAAUUUAUGAAUUUUUAAUAUUUAUUCAUAUUGAUGAGUUUUUAAUUAAUUAUUCAAUUAUUAUUGACCGACGGUGUAACCGACAAAAAUUAAAAAUUGACAAUCUAAUCAAUUUGAUUAUUAAUCUGAACAAAACCUACAUAAAAUAGAACUAAACUAAAAUUAAAAUUAAAAUGAAAUUGGGGAUUUUAUUUACAUAUCUACGAAUGUGAGACUCGAAUAUAAUAAAUCAUUUUCCUGAUUAAAUCGCUCACAAGAAAAAUCUAUAACUAUAUCAAAAGGGUAUGCAUAGGACACCGUAGAUACGAAGCCUUAGAUUUUAAACACAUGGAUUUUAUAUUUGGUUUAAAUGUUUCAAUUUGGUACUUGAGUUUGGUUUUGAUGUUUAAUUUGGUACUUGAUUGUUCUUUGUCUCAACUAAGCACCUAUGUUUUUUUACUAGAGCACAUAUGUCAAAUAUUUAUUGGACCACAUGAUGUUGUUUAAUUCAGGUACCAAAUUGAGCAUUGAAGUCAAACUUAGAUACCAAUUUGGAACAAAAAACUAUAUAACAAAUUCAACACUAAAACCAAAUAUAAGGUAGCAAAUGGUAUAUUAACAGUUAAAAUAUUUUAGAUUUAUUAUCACGAAUAUAUAACUUUUUAUACAUUAAUAAUUUAUAUUUUUUUGACAUAUUUUUUUCAUUCAUAAUGUGUUUAUUUUAUUAUUGAUCUAAUGUUGUGUUUAUGUCGUGCAUUAAUAACUUGAUUUUUAUUAAAAUUAUAUAUAUAUAUUUAAAAUUCUCAGGCAUUAACAUCGUACAAUCUUAAAAUAUUAUGUCAUUACAUCUUAACAAAAUUUAAUUUCAUAAAUAAAAAUGGAGAAUAGCUGUAAAAUAUUGGAAGUAAUAUGAAAAAAAAAAGUUCAGGGACCAGAUUAAAAAGUAGUCAAUUGAAUGUGUUCAAUUUAGUAAAAUUAGAAAGAAAAAUGGAAAAUAAAACUAACAUCGACAAGUGUUGAUUAGUUAAAUUAAUCAAUCGCCAAGUGAAUGGAUUUUAUUUUAAUUUUUUCUUAAUCAACUUUUAAAAAAAAAAGUUAUAAUUAUAACAUUUCACACGGUUUUUGGGAUCUGAAAGGGUCACCAAACAGCGCGUCUUCUCAAAAAAUUCCCUUUCCUUUACAAACAAAUCCACACAAUUAAUGAAAAAAUUCAUUGUUCUUCAUGUUCCUCAAAAACCCAGAUUAUAACUUUUUUUGAAUCUUCUUGUUGUUCAUCUUGUCUUUUUGUUUCUGUUUCAUUCAUCAUUUUGAAGCUAUGGUGACAACUUUGCUAUUAUUAGCUAUUCUUUUCAUACUGGGUUUCAUUCAUAUUUACUUUUCUUUUUUGCCCAAUAAAUUUUAUUAUUGGAUCCAAUCUUUAAUCCGCAAUACUAGUCCUUCAUCAUCAUCAUCUUCAGCUGUGAAUUACAAAACGGCCCAGAAAAUAUCAGUAACGGAACGGGGAGAUCCAAAUAACUUGGAGUUAAAAAGGGUGUUUUCCACCUUCGACAAAAACGGGGACGGAUUCAUAACCAAGCAAGAAUUGCGCGAAUCGUUAAAGAACAUACGGAUGUUCAUGACGGAAUCGGAGGUGGAAGAAAUGGUGGUGAAACUCGAUGCUAACGGUGAUGGGUUGAUUGAUUUCGAUGAGUUUUGUGUCUUGUGUAAAGCCAUCGACGACGACGACGACGGCGGCGGCGAGGAAUUUAAAAGAUUGGGGGAAGAAGGUGAAAUAUUGAAGGAAGCUUUCGAUGUGUUUGAUAGGGAUAAAGACGGGUUAAUUACCGUCGAGGAAUUGGGAUCGGUGCUUUGUUCAUUGGGAUUAAAAGAAGGUGAUAAGAUCGAAGAUUGUAAAGCGAUGAUACGGAAAGUUGAUAUCGACGGCGAUGGGAUGGUGAAUUUCGAUGAAUUCAAGACGAUGAUGAAAAAUGGUGGCCGAUUAGUCUCAGCCUUUUGAUUUAAAAUCAAAUUAUAAGGUAUAAUUUCAUUUUUAGUCCUUCUACUAUGCCAAAAUUCAAGAUCUGAUUCUCUUUUCGAUCCUUUUAGGUAAAAAUUUUCUUUAUUAAUUUCGAUAUGAAUUCAAUUGUUGUUCUAAAAAAUAUCAAAAUAUGAAAGUGAGCAAUUAAGGACAAUUAAUAACAAUGAUAAUAUUUUCUUGUUAAUUUUGCAUUGGUAUAAUAAUAAAUUUAGCUCUCACAAUUUACACCUUCUAUUAAUUGAUAAUGAUUUAACAAAUUUACCUUCCAGUACUUGUGUAAAUGUUGAGGUUUAAUUUAUUAAGUUUUUUUAGAAUAAAUACCAAAUUAACAAAAUAUGUAAACUUAGAGGAUUAAAAUUGUUAUUAUACAAAUCAAAAUUAUGUAUGAAAGACAUAACACCGUGAUCAAUUGUCCUUAAUUGCUCAUUUUCAAAAUUAAUAGUAAUUAAAAUGCUCCGAAUUUUUAUAUGGAUCAAUUUGUUCAAUUUCAAAAUUAAAAGAGAUCGAAGUGACUUUUUACCAUAUUCAAAUUGAUAACCAGUUUUUGGAUUCAAAUUUUAAAUAAAAUUUCAUGUUAUUGCUUUAACAAAAGGAGUUAUCAAUUUGUGUUCAGCUAAAGUAGAAGAUGAUAUCCUUGAAUUGUAGCAUAGUAGAGGGAGUAAAAUUAUAAUUAAACCUUUUUUUUAUCUAUAUGUUGAAUUGGUUAUCAUUUUUUUAAUACAGUAUUGAUAUUUGUAACAAAGCAAUUGGAAGGUUUUUUUUAGGUGUGCCUGUAUUUUUGGAGUGUUUCUCUCCAUGUAAAUUGGAAUUUUAUAUUUGUAAAGGCCACCAAACAUAUAUAUGGAAUUUUUUUAGAACCAAUACUAAAUUGACAUAAUGUAUAAAUGUUGAGGGUUAGAAUUGUUAUUAAACAAAUUUAAGAAACUGUCACAUCAUCUUUCCGUUAGCCAUUUAAUGUCAAAUGACCAAAAGGAUAAAAUUAAAUUAUUAUGUGGCUAUUUUGUAAUUUUUUAUAAUUGAGUGACAAGAAAGAAACUUAUCAACAAUUAAGUGACUGCUAAUGUAAUUUACUCAAAAUCAAAUUUUAUUAAUUAUUGAACUAAAAUUCAAAUAUAACUUUAAGAUGCAACCAAAUUAUUAGAUAAAAAUUUAAAAAAAAACAAGUACAAAGAAAAGCUAUAAUUAAAGUUUGGCACCUAAUUAAAUUAUUGCCUAAACUAUGCGGUUUCUCGUUGACAAGCAAAUUUAAAAUAAAAAAAAAAUUGAUAGAAUUAUACAAUAAAAAAUGUGGGAAAUGAUAAGAAUAUUUUUUAAAAAAAUUUACAUUAUCUUAUAAAUACUUUAGGUUAAUAAUUAUUAUUUUUGUAAAAAAAAUAAUUUUUGGUGGUUUAUUGAUUGAGUUGAUGCUCAAAUGUAAAUCCAAUCAGAUAAUUAAAUUAAUAUAGAUAAAUUAUAAUAUAAAUAACAAUGUCUAAUUAAGUGAUAAAGCAACAUAUAGUCUCCAAAUUUGGAAAUAUUUCGUAACUCGGUUUCUUAACGUGAUAGUUUGAAAUUGUGCCAUGUAAUCGUUUAAAAUUUUAAAAAGAAUUUAUUAUUUAUAUGAAAUGUAAAAGAUAUAAAAAUUAUUUAUUUUAUUUUAAAAUUUUAGUAAUUUACAUGCGAUGACGUGACACAAUCUCAUAUAGACAUAUUAUAUACCUCAACGUCAUCCAAAUUUAGGGACCAAAUUGAAAAAUUCUGCCAAAUAUCUAGUCUAAUAUAGACAAAAAAAAGGUUUAAGAGACCAAAGUGAAAAAAAUGACAAGUUGAGCGACUAAAUGUUGAUUUAUCCUCUAACUAAUUUCCGUUUUGGACACUGUAACUAUAAUACUAUAUCGUUUACGCGGGUUUCUUCGGUUCCCUCUUUCCGAUAUUUUUCUUCGCCUCGAAGCUAAAUAUAAAUAUAUAAAAUCAUCUCCAUCUCUUUAAAAAAAUCAAUACAAAAAGAAAAAAAAUAAAAAAAAUGCUAGAAGCAGAGCUUCAUGACUUAUCAGACGACGCAGAUUACGCCGCCUCUCAACAAGAAGUAAGCAAAAAAGAAAAAUAUUUUUUUUCGAUCACAGUCAACGUAAAUUCUUUUUCCAUUUUUGGCGCGAUUUUAUCUCAUAAUUGUUUGAUUUAUCGAUUUAAAAAAAUUAAUUGCGGCUUUUUGGCCUUGUUUGAGUAGGGAUCGGCAAGUAUGAUGCGGUGCUACAGUAGUAAAUUAAGCACGUCGAGUGAAACGGAAGGAGCUGAAAUUGUUUAUUUGAAGGAUAAUGUUGCGAUUCAUCCUACUCAGUAUGCCUCUGAACGGAUUAGUGGAAGAUUGAAGUUAAUUAAGCAAGGAUCUACUCUUUUCAUGGUGAUUUGUUCGUUAUUUAAGCUCUGUUUUGUGUUUUAAGUUUAUGUACGUGGACGGUUUUGUUAAUUAGUAAUCUCAUUAAGCUAAUUAUUUGCACCAUUUCAUGUAGCAAAAUAGGAUGGAAACUAUUGUGUUUGUAUAUUUUAUUAUUGCUGAAGAUAUAUGUUUGUUGUUGUAUUUGAAUGUAGACAUGGAUUCCAUACAAAAGGCAGAGUACGAAUGCGAAGCUGUCCGAGAAAGGUUUUUUUCAGCUAUGGCCUUGUGAUUUGAAUAUCGAUUUUGUAUUGAUUAUAUGUUUGUUGUAGCUGUUGUUUGCUUGAUUCUGUUAUGCAGAUAGAAAUCUUUAUACCAUUAGGGCAGUGCCGUUUGCUGAUGUGAGGUCUAUUCUAAGACACACUCCGGCUCUUGGGUGGCAGUACAUCAUUGUUGUCCUUUCAUCUGGUAGGAAUCGUAAGCUCUAUACUGUUUUUUCUUGGCUUGUGGUAUACCAGGUUGAGCAGAUGACUUUUGAUGUUGCAUGUUCUACUUCUACAUAUGAUGUUCAGUUGAUUUUCAUGUGAAGUUUCAUGGCACUAUGGAGCAAAUGUAUUAUAAACAUGAACUAAUUCAUUUGUUGUGGAGAAAUGUUCUACCAAAAUCUCUUAGGGUUAUGCAAUGAAAAUUUGUUAACCUUUCGAGAUGAUCAAUUAUUUGAAAGCCAUAUAUCAUACCUGAGUAGAGAAGCUGAUAAUCUUUUAAGUGUACUUAUUUUGCUGAGAUUUUUAAAUGGCAGUGUGAAACGUAUUUUGAGAUAUGGUUCUUUCCCCCCCCCCCCCUCUCUUCCUUGUUUGAUUUCCCUCCUAGAGUUGGGUGCCUGAUGUGAAUAAUGGAAAAAAAUGGAAGGUUAAAUCAUUGCACAACUUUAUAACUCAACUAAAUCAACCUGGAAUCAUGCAUAUAUGAUAAAACCUGUUAUAACUUGAAACUUUGAAGCAUUUGAUAAUUGAUAUUCAGUAACUUAAAGUGAUGAAGCCUUGGGAAAACUGGCAUCAUCUAGAUUUCUUUAAAAUGGUUUUAUGUGUGAAAAUUACUGCUUUAUUGCAUAUCGACUGCUAAUUUCUUUCCCUGGACAUUUCAAAAUUUUAGUUGUACAGUAAUGGGUUCUUCUUUAUCAUACUGGUUACAUGGCUACUUUUACCUGGUAGUUGAAAAGAUUAGCAGGGCUAGGAAAUUUUGAGUUGACUGUGUCAUCUUUUUGUUACUUCCCGCAUGUCAUUUGUUCAUGUACAUGUUCAUUGAAUGUCCUGAAUAACCACUUACGAACUGACUAGGCAUUAAAUUACUACUUUAUGUUUUAUUUGUUCUACUUGCAAGUCUUGGCAGUUCCUUUUGAUGAUUAUAUAAGGUUCAAUCUCAUGGAUUUAUUAAGUUCUUUAUUUAAAAUUUAUUUCUCUACAUUUUGUUUCAUUUCUACUUUGUGGCUAUUCUUGUCUUUACACUUGUGGAAAGAAAUUGUUUUUCAGGACUUGCAUUUCCUCCCCUUUACUUCUAUAAUGGAGGAGUUCGUGAGUUCCUUACUACAAUAAAACAGCAUGUUUUUCUUGUGAGGUUGGUUUUGCUCAUUUUAAGUUCCAUUUAAUAGUAUUUUGUGUGAUCAAUGGUUUUGAGUUCAUUUUCUAAAGUUUUUUGUGUUAUAUCCGUCUUUAACCCUUGAUUUAUUACAAAAAAAUAUAGUUAGAUUUUUUUGAGGCCCCUAAUUUUCAUCUUUUUUUCAGGUCAGUAGAAGACACAAAUGUAUUUCUUCUGAAUGACUUUCAAAUUCCUCUGCAGGUGUGCAUAAUGCUAAUGUACCUGUUUGGUUUGUUUCUUUCGUUAAUUCUUCAGCAGCAAAGUUUCCCCAUAGCAUUUGCUUAACAUGAGAUAUAAGCAAUACUUUAAUUGCUAAAUAUCUUACUUUUGUAGAGGUUAAAUUUUUUAAAAGCAAGUCUAAGUCUAAUUUUGGCAACUAACUUUGUUCUGAUCUGCUGUUAAUCUUCAGUUGGGGAAACUAGAUUUGUUGAAAAAAAUGUCCCAUUUUAUUUUACUUGGUUUUAUUGAUCACAUGUGGUCAGAUAGAUGGUCUUUUAUUCUGAGUCUUCUAAUUGAUUGUGACAGCGAACUUUGUCCUCAUUGGAGCUUCCCAGGGCAGUUUCCAUUCCAAGCAUGCCAUCAACACCUGUUUUAGCUAGGGAGUCUACUUCACAUGAAAAUCGAGAGAGGCCUGAUGUGGGCGUCAGUGAUGUAAGUGCUAGUAUUCCUCAGUAUAAUGGAAGGCGGAGGCAAAAGUUCCAUGACCCUGCUCGAGACAUUUCAAUCCAAGUUUUGGAGAAAUUUUCUUUUGUAACAAAGUUUGCCCGAGAAACAACUUCGCAGCUAUUCCGGGAGAGUCACAGCAAUGGAUUUCGUCCUCUUGAGAGGAGAAAAUCUAACCAGUCUGAUGAUUAUAGUCACAAACCUUCUGAUGAUGCUGAGGGAGUUGCUGUUCAAAGCCCUGUUGCUCCAGAUCCUGUUGAGGUAUAUGUUUAUUCCCUUUGUCAAUUAAUUGCACUGUUAUUUUUUUUCCACUGGAAGUGUUUCUGUCUGUUACAGAUUUGUAAAGGUUUGUGUUUUUGCAUUAGGAUUGAAUUCUAGAUACUCUUAAGCUCACUUUUAGUGCAAAUACCUGUUCCCUGAAGGUGUAAUAAUGCAAGUGCACAUCUUUCUAUGGAAUCUGUUCUUGGUCAUGGACCAACUGGAACCUGGUAUAGUCCUGGCUGAGCGUGGCAAGUCCGGAAAAAGCCUAUAUUAAUGUAGGAUGGAUCUUAUUUCAAAGUUCUAACUGCUUGGUAUUAUGCUAUUGAUUAGUUUUCUGGAUAUGGAGGAGAAAUUAACUCUUUUAUUGCAAUAAUAAUAAGGUACCUUGAGUGGUCCAUUUGAUAAUGAAAACAAAGAAUGAGAUGAGUCUGGUAUUAAGUAUUGUUGUUAGUUUAAGAAUGCUGCUUGCAUUAUUUAUCUGGAAGGUUUUCAACUUCUAUACCCGGCAAGCUGAUGCCAACCUCUAUCCUUGUUGAACAGAAAGUACCAUAUAGGGAACACAAUCGUGAUGGUGAAGCUGCCACCAAUGUGGGGACUUUUGAGCUAAUCAAUUAUAAGGAGGUAUAUAAAGGAGCAUUAGUUCUAUUAUAGUUCUGGAGUUGUUUCCUUUUCUUUCUACAUUCUACCCUUUCAGCCGUGAUAAUGACUUGAAUGUAGAUAUUUAAUGACAUUUUCCUUCAUAAGCCUUUUAGAACUGCAGAUACGUGUGAAUGAAAUUACUGCUAAAACCUGCUUCAGGUUUCAAUAGAUCUUUGGGAAUAUGAUUGCUGAAUGAGAUUGUGCAUAAAUCACUACUCAGUGUUUGAUGCAUGAAGUUGAAAAUAGUUAGAGGGGCCAGAAAUAAGGGGGAGAUUGAUUUGCGAAGCAUUAGAAAAUGAUGAAUAAGUUGCAAAUAUAGCUUUUGGUUCUCCGUUUAGCCUGGAGCAAUUUUUUGUUGCUCCUCUCCCACUAACUGAGAAAAUUGGUUUCUGUCUGGAUCUAGCAGCAGAUUGAUAAACCAUAUGUAGUAUAUAGUCCAUGCUUAUUAGUCGUUAACAUUGAGAAUAUGUUAAUGUGAUAAUGUGAUCGCACUUCUUCCUUGUUUUGAGUUCUUCUCUUUUCCUGUUGGAUUCAGCAAUAGAGAAGUUGUGGCGAAGUAAUUGUAAAUUAGGAGACAGAAUCUGGGAUGGCUUUACUUUUGAUUUUUUGGUUCUAUGUUGAACAAAUCUGCAACGUAGCUAUUUUGAUUGUAUUUAUAUUUAUUGGGUCUUUUUCUUAACCUAUUGUGAAUAAAGCUGGGUAUUCUUAGAAGUAUUACAAGGCUGCAAAGAAAAUUCAGAACAUUAAUUUAUUUACAUCCAUGAAUUAAUUAAGAAGUGGUUGUCCUUUAUCAAGUUAGACUCCUGAAAAAUUUUUUUAUUUUGCUACUCUAUCUGUUUGUAUGCAACCCUUCUGUAAGCAGUUCUAAUUGAUGGUACAAAAAUGUGCAUUAUAGUGCUACUUUGUGUGAUAAAAUUGAUUUCAGUCUUGUGGGAAACAUGCAAUUGUACUGUAUUUAUAAUGAUGAUAGCAAAAGAGGGCCAAUAUUUAAUGUGGUUGAAUAUUAAAUUCCAUAUUCAGGAAUAGAUUUUGCAUCUUAAACUAAUAUAAUUUUUUGUCUCCAUUUUCUGGCAGUUUGACAAACUCUCACUAGUAUGGGGAAAACCCCGACAACCACCAUUGGGGUUGGAAGAGGUUAGGAACCGGAUGUGAACUUUGUUACGUGGUGUUCUAUGUAAUUUGCUUAUUCAUUUUCACCCCUUUUUUCUGGUUACGUCCUUGUUUCUGUGGGUUAUGCCUCCACCUGUCUCUUGCUAUAUGAAACAAAAUGGAUUAGUGAAGAAAUUUCUUAAUUUCUACAAUAAACCUUCCUGAAGCCUUAUCGUUGAAGUUGCUUCAUGUUUCAAAUGCUUUCUUCCAAGGAGUACGAAUUCUUUAUGUGAUUUGUAUUAUAUUGCCCUUCUAAAGUCUAAUUAUUUUUUCAGUGGGUCACAUUCUUAGAUUCUGAAGGUCGAGUGGUGGAUUCAAAAGCUUUAAGAAAAAGAAUAUUUUAUGGAGGAAUUGAACACAAACUACGGAAAGAGGUUUGUAUUUGUAGCUGGCAAUAAUUCUGAGUGGAUAAAUUCUUUUGAUUAAAAAUGCAUCUUAAUAUUAAAGACUUAGUUGUGAUUUUUAGGUCUGGGCAAUAUUAUUGGGAUACCAUACAUAUGAAUCAACAUAUGCUGAGAGAAAACAUCAAAGGUCUAUCAAAAAGAUAGAAUAUGAGACUAUAAAAAGCCAGUGGCAGGUUUGCAGUAUUCUUUAUCUAUUUGUUAUGCAGCAUUCUUUCCUUCCCUGCAUUAAAUUUGAGUUCACAUCGAAUUUAGUUUCAGCUUUCUUUACUCUUUAGUGCAUGCAGCUGAAUCUUUUGAGGUUCAAAACAAAAUGUUUGUUUUCAACCUAGGAUAUAUUUUGGGAUUUGUUGACAUAAGUUAUAUGGCUUAUUGGGUGCUCUAAGCAAACCAAUCAGUCUUGUUAUAUGCAAGUGAUAGUUAUAAGUUAUAUCAGAUAGUGGGUGCUAGAACAUGAAAUACUGAAGUGGGAGAUAAAAAUUUGCACCCAACUCUUUUUGGCAAUUAUUUUAUCUCAAUUAGUAUUGGCCUUACUAUGUUACUAUAAGAAACUUAGUACUUUGUGGUGAAUAUUUUGGCAGAGCAUCUCUCCUGCACAGGCGAAAAGGUUUACAAAGUUCAGAGAGAGAAAAGGCCUCAUAGAGAAGGAUGUGGUAUGAAUGGAACCAUUGAAUGUUUGAUUUUGUAGUUUCAUAUGCUUAUUUUAUUCUUGAAAAGUUUAAUACUGUGAUUCUGAGUGUUUUUGUUGUCUUUAAGGUAAGGACAGACAAGUCACUAUCUUUCUAUGAUGGGGAUGACAAUCCAAACGUGAGUCUUCUACGUGAUAUUCUGUUGACCUAUUCAUUCUACAACUUCGAUCUUGGUUACUGUCAGGUAAUUACUUGUUACAAGCUUUAUGUUGGUUGUUUUAUUUUAUUCAGUGAACAAACUCGAGGUGUAUUUUAAAUACAGCAACAAUGAUGUUUUAAAUUGGCAAUGCAAAGUACCAAAAAAGAACAAAAUUGGCUAUGCAUGUUCUUGGCCAAAAAACAAUUGAUAUGCAUGGGAAUAUGUAAAAAUGCAUAAUUAAUCUGAUCGAAAUGCCGAUGUGCUUAGUAAAUUACAUUGUGUGGUAAUACUUCUUGUCUAUUUCAUACAUUCCCUCUAUGAGCUGCCAGUAUGCAGAAGACAUGGAGGUGUUAAAUAAUGACAUAAGAAUCUCAUAAGCAAAGCAAGCCAUAUGAGUAAUAUAUAAGUGGUGAUUAUCAUAAAAAAUUGAUGUUUUUCUUACGUGCAGGGCAUUGAAUUUUAUUGUAGACUAGUGGUUCGGCACGUGAACAUUUAGGCUUAUAGCAUGUUUACAUUUUCAAUGCAUGAAUCAGUUUCUCCAAAGUUUAUAUCCAUUGUAGCACUUAUCAUCUAUAUGAGUUUGGUUUUGUGGUUCAUCUCUUUUUCUAUCCUUCUUGCAGGGUAUGAGCGAUCUUCUAUCCCCGAUUUUAUUUGUAAUGGAGGAUGAGUCGGAAUCAUUUUGGUGUUUUGUGGCACUGAUGGAAUGCCUUGGUCCCAAUUUCAACCGUGACCAAAGUGGCUUGCACUCUCAGCUCUUUGCCUUAUCUAAGGUCUCAAACUUUAAACUCUUACAUCAAGAUACACUUUUUGUUGGAAGUCACGAUACACUGCCUCUAUUCGGUUCAUUUCAUACGGUCCCUCUCUUUUAUUUGGAGUGGUGUUUUUAUCUCAAUAUGGAUCUAGUCCCAGUUUCUUGAACUUUAAACUCUGGAUUUGAAGUUUGUGUUGUAUUUUCUUAGGGGACUUUACUUCAUGAUAUCAACAAAAAGAAGUUUUAAGUGUAUGAUGACUUCUAACAAGUGGUUUAUAAACAUCUAAUCCAAGUAACUGAAUAACUCGUGAACAGAGUUUUCGUUUCCGAUUUUGAGCUAUACGUCUACUUUUUUUGCAGCUGGUGGAGUUGUUAGACAACCCCUUGCAUAACUAUUUCAAGCAGAAUGAUUGCUUGAAUUAUUUCUUUUGUUUCCGCUGGAUGCUAAUACAGUUUAAAAGGUCAGACUCUAUAGCUGAUAUUCAUUUCGGAUAUAUUUUCCUUCAAUCAUAUAAUGCACAUAUGUUGAGAAGUAGAGUAGUUUGUUGUAUAACUCUUACAAUGCCCUCCGACGUGAAAAUGGGAAGUGUCGUUUACUAUGAGAUGCAAGGAUAAAUUAACUUUUUAACAUGUGAUGCGGUCUCAAUUUGUUUAUCAGGGAACUUGAAUACGAGAAAACGAUGCGAUUGUGGGAAGUGUUGUGGACACAUUAUUUAUCGGAGCACAUCCAUCUGUACGUGAGUGUAGCUAUCUUGAAGCGUUAUCGUGGCAAGAUAAUCGGAGAUCAAAUGGAUUUCGACACCCUCUUAAGGUUCAUAAAUGAACUGAGUGGUCGGGUUGACCUAGAUGCAACACUCAGGGAUGCUGAGGCUUUAUGUAUAUGUGCCGGUGAGAAAGGAGCUGAUUGCAUACCCCCCGGAACUCCACCUUCAUUGCCUGUUGACAAUGGUUUACUCUAUUCUCAGCAAGAUGAAGUGUUGUAAAUUAAUACAUAUAUGUACACACAUACAUACACACAUACAUAUAGCUAAAUUUAAAUUCACGGCUCUUGUAAGUUGGCCAUUUUCCUUAAAAUAAAUCUUAUAAAUAUAUAUGUACUAACUGAUAAGGGAUUAUUUCAUACGGUGAAGAAAAAAAGUACUAAACCGAGUUUAUGGAUGGGCUGAUUUCAUUGUUGUUACGUACUGGAUCGGUGGUUGGGAACCAAUCAGGUCAUUAAUUUUUGAUUUGAUCGGUUUUUUGGUUUAAAUCAAAUAAAUUAUUAAAAAUUUAAUUAAAUAUUAAAAUAUAUAAAAUUUACUUUAGUUGGUUUAAUUGGAUUUUUUAUUCAGUUCAAUUGAUUUGAUAAUUAAUUUUUUUUCUGUCUUUUUGGAUUGAUAUUUUGAUUAAUUUUUGAUAUAAUUGGUUCGAUUAGUAGAUUAAAUCCAGUUUAGAUAAUAUUGAUGUUAUGGAAGUUUUAACCAUUUGCACGACUUGUUUGAGUAAUAAAGAAUAGGAUUGGUGAAAUGUUUUCGAAUUUAAUUGUUUUAAUGUUAUUCAAUAGUUAAGUCAUCUCUUACAUCUGAAUCUUGAAAUAUUUUUUUAGAGAAAAUAAAACUACGGACAAAUGCGGAUGGUAACAAGAGAUCUCAAAAUAUUUGAAAAUUCUUUUUAGACUUUUAAAAUUAAAAAUUUUAAUCACUCUUAGGUUAGUAGUUAAAGAUUUUAAAAUUUAAAUUUAAAGAAUAUUAUAAAUUGAGUGGAAAUUCUUUUAGAAAUAUAAUAUGCAUGAUAAUUUUUCAAAUCCACAUAUUAAUUAGGUUCUUAAAUUUGAAAUUAUUAAAAUAUAUUGAAUUUAACAAAUUCAUGUUUUUAUCUUUUUCUAACAUAUAUUGUUUUGAAUCUUAACUAAUUUUCCUAUAGAUGGAUGAUGGAUCCUAUUUUUACUAUUUACAUAAUAAAUGAAAUUUAAAUCCAAAUUUUGUAAUCCAUGUUCCCAAAUGAAACAUUAAAUAUUUUGAAACUUUUCAUUAAACCUAUCAAAAUUUUUUAAAAAAAUUAAUUAAAUCCCUCCACACCUUUUAUCAAACAUUCUCAUUUUUAAUUAGACACAAAUCUAAAUGCUAAAAUUCGCCAUUAGCUAUAGAUUGAUGGUAGAUUUGGAUGCACGAUUGGGUGCGGUGCAGUGCGUUUAGCUUACUUUUUAUCUCACGCUACGGUAUCUAAUCUCACCGCCACCGCUGUUUUUACACUAACCAAAGGUAAACGCACCACUCAUCUAAACUCCCCUGAGUUGCUAGAAAUAUGGGGCUGGAAUGCUAUUUGAAGGAUUGAAUGGUUUCCGGAAAGGGAGCUACAAAAUCUACUGUCCAUGUAAACACCAGGCCGCUAUGUAGUGGACACUGUUACUGAUUUGAAAAAAAAUAAAGAACGCGGCGGAAAAGACGUUAAGGAAUCCGUGAUUCCUCCCCGCCAACAUGACAGCAUAAAAGUAAAUCUCAUAUUUGCACACCCACACUUCGUAUUGUGUGCACUAAGCUUUUGUUUUUUUAUCCCCACAGCACAAUCCCAUGUCCCAUGAAUUUGAUUUUAUCAUGUAAUUUCCGCGAUUUGAUGUCAAAAUACGAGUAUAAGGUCAACAUCCUUGAUAUGUACUAAAUGCUGAAAAUCUAACAUUAUGUGGUACGAAUAAUAUAGGUUGGAUGAAUAAUUUCAAUUCAACUAAUAAUUAAAUUUAUAUUUAAUACAGGUACCGAUAAUCUAUAAAUUUAUAUACAAUCAAAAUAUAAUUGAUCAGAUUGUCGCUCGUUAUGAUGUAUAUGUGUCAACAUUAAUUUGCUUCUAGUUUGUAAAAAUGAAAAUUUAUUUUUAUUUUUUGAAACUUAUAUAAUUCAUUAAUGCAUUAUGUUGAAGAUAUGUGACCCAAAUUCUUGUUAAAUAAAAAUACAAGCGGCAAGAUAGGGGGAUCUAUGAGGGCGAAGGCCGAGGGCCGGGGAAUAAGGUGUUUUAACCUUAUUACAUUACUUCUAUUUGACUUUGAUUAGAAUAUGGUUUUACAAACCUAUAAGUAGACGUAGUCAUUUCUCCUCUUGUAUUAUUCGAAUUCGACAUAAUGAAUUUUCUUCUCCUCUACCCAUGGUUUUCUCUCAAAAGGGUUUUCACGUAAAAUCCGUGUUCUAUUUUUUCUCUCUUUUCUUGCCAUUAUCGACAUUCUGUUUUUAUAAAUUUUAUUCAUGUUAAUAAAUUUAUGAUGAAAAAUUAUUAGCUUAUUAUAUAUAAACCUUAAACGUCAAGCAUCGUUUUUUAAAAAUUUGUCUCUCGACUCUUCUAAUAGACACCGAUACUGAUCCAAAUGUAUUGAAAUUUUAAUUGAAAUUAAACUUAAAUUACUAGAUACAAAAUUAAGAUUAAAAUGGUACCUACCAUGGGAGGGUUGCAUACAGGAUCCAAUGCCCAAAGGGUGCUUUUACUUUUAGUGUGGAGGGGAGAUAUAGAGUGAGAUUUGAUUGCAGCUUUGAACUGCAAAAAGGUCAAAUAUCCCACUAAACAAACAAACAUAAUAUUGAGGCAUAAACCCACCCUUUGCAGUGCAUCACGUUGAAAUUGUCAUUUUUCUCCAUUGUCAACUCCUUUGCCUUCACAUAUUUUAUAUAUAGUUUCUGACAGAUUUGAAUGUGAAGGUGGUGGCCGAGUUUUCAACUUCCAAAUUGUUUAUGGUUGGACAACCAACUUUCUUUUUCUUCAAACUUUCAAGUGAUUUCUAAUUAAAAUUUUGCAUAUAAUAUUGUUAUGGUGUUCGCCAUAAUUGACCCAUUGUCCGAUUAAGAUCGAUUGGAUUCUUUUUACUUCAGUUAGUAUAUAGUCAGCCGGACCAUAUAGUUCGUCUAUAUGAGUUCACACUAUCAUGCAAGUGAACCAUACUCAAGAAACAUGUGUUGACCUUAGAGUAGGAUACGUGUUGACGUGCAUGAAGGCCUAUUUAAUCCUAGUACGUCACAUCGAGAGACCGUGCCUUACAAAUAGGGAAAUUGACCUCCAUGAAGGGAAACUUAUGAGAACACUCAACAACUACAUAUGAUAUUGGCUUUCAGUUUGAUCUCAUUUGAAAUUCAGAUACUGAAACACGAAUGGUUAUUUUUAAUUCACAUAGAUGUUAGGACUUAAUUGAAGUUUGAAUCGGUGAAUUGGAAAAAGGAAAAAAAAAUCCAUUGAACUCAACUAAAUUAACAAGCAAAGGGCCAAUCCCAUGGUUUAAUUGUUACACACUCCCAUGUAUCCGCCGGUCAAAUUCCGUGCUACCAUUUUUGUUAUCUCGGAAUCUGUUUUCCAUUUCAAACAAAAACAAAGGAAAUCUGCAGUUCUUGUUUUAUAUAACAAUUUCUCGGGGAUUGAAUAAUAAGGAGUUGGAUGUCUUUUGACUCAGAUUUAGAGUUCAAUUUUUGUAGAUGAAAACAAGAGUUUUGUCUUCCGUUUAGGUAUUUGAUAGAACUUAGGUACCGAAUUUAUAAUAAUCGACAAUGUUAUUUAAACUGGACCAGACGUGUUGGAUUAAGAAUCGAUUAGUAUACCAAUCCAGCAAAGAGAUUAAAUUGAUCUCUGAAUAGAGGUGCUCAUGCCCGGCCCGCCCGAAAUAUGGGAGGAUUUGGGUAAAAAUAUAGGCCCGAAAUAUGGGCUUGGGCAAAAAAAUGAGGCCCGUUUUUGGGCCUCAAGCACCACUUUUUUGGCCCUAGCCCGGCCAGAUAUAAUAAAUAUUUUUAUUUUUUAUUUUUUUUUAAUUUUAAAAUAUUUUUAAAAUGCUUUUUUUAUUAUUUUUUAAUUUUAAAAUAUUUUUAAAAUACUUUUUAAAAUUUUUAAAAUAAAUUUUUGAUAUUUAUUAAAAAAAGGGCCGGGCCGGGCCGGGACUGGGCUUAUGAUUUUUUUUCUCGGGCCGGGCCUGGGCAAAAUUUUAUGCCCAUAUUUUGGGCCGGGCCCGGGCAAAAAAUUUUUAUGGGCCUGGCCCGGCCCAUGAGCACCUCUAACUCUGAAUGAAUAACUCAAAAUCGAAAAAAUAUGAAAGCGAGAUAAAAAAAGAAGAAGAUAUUGGACCAAAUUUAUAAAAAAAAAAACAAUCAUUUAUUUUAUUAUUGUUGGAUCGACCAUCGAAUUAAUUAAAUUGAGAAUCGAUGAUCUAAUUGGUUCAACCAUCAAUUCGAUUUUUAAAACAUUGACUAUUAUCGAACCAAAAAAGUAACCAUUAGAAUGGGACAGUAAUAAAAGCUUAAAUUUAUAUUUAAUGAGUUAUUAUAUAAAACUCUAUAUUAUUAAUAUUAAGGAAUUAAAUUAAAUUAUUUUUAUUUAUUUGGUUAAACUACGUUGUUCUUCUAUAGAAUUUGAGAAUUAGUUUACUUUUCUUAUUUAAAAAUCUUAGCCCAAUGAUUAAUAUAUCCUUAGUAGUUUUCAUCAAAGCUUGUUAACUUUAACAUGUUUAUUUUCUAUCAACCAUAUGUUUUAAUAUCAAGGCAGCCUAAUUAACAUGCCGAGGUAGCAAAAUUUGGCAUAAAUUAUUAGCAACAUUAAUCAUUGGACUGAGUUUUUAAAUCGGAAAGUAAUAGCAGGGGUGACGGGGUCAUAAGGCCCUGGCCCACUAAAAUGGUAAAUUUAUGUUUUCGCCCUUUAAUAUUUAUAAAAAUUUAAAAUCAGUACAUGGUAAAAUUAUACUUUGGCCUUCCAAAAUGAUAAAAUUUUGAUCUAAUCUUUUAAAAAUUAUAAAUAUAUAAGCUAUUAAAAUAGUGAAAUUGUAUUUUAGCUCUUUUUAAAUCAUACAACUCUCCCUAAAAUUUUUUUUUGGCUUCGGCCUUAAGUAAUAAGAUUUAAUUUUUAACUACAAAACUAAAUUCCAAAUUUCAUCAAAUUGCAUAGACUAACAAUAUAUUUUAACUUAUUUAUUUUUAUAAAAAAGUAUAAAAAGGGUAAUAAUAACUAGAAAUGACAGAGGGAAUAGAAAAAAGAAGGGAAAUAAAUUCACAAAAAGCUUGUCAUUUUUUUUUCUGAAUGUAUUUAUUGGAAUGAACUCAGUAAUUCGUAUUUUAUAGAUCUAUUAAGAAAAUAAAUGUUGAUUACAACUUUUAAAACUGUUCCAUACCCAGGACAAGAAUCGAACGUUUUAUUUAUAGUUGGAAAAUUGAGCCCUCCAUUGCAAGCAAAUUCAAUGAUAAGAGGCAUAAUUGUUUAGAUGGUACAACUAGUUUUUGUUUUAUAUGAUGAUGAUGUUGGUAAUGAUUUUUGAGACAAAUUGUAGAAUUUGAAAGGGCUUCAGAAUAAAGGUUGUAAAAUCAUAUCCAAAAGUGAUUCUUUUUUCUAAUUUAAGUUGACAGUGGUGACUUGACUAAACUUAUGCCAUUGCUUUGUUGUUUGCCAAUUUUGAAUUUUUUAAGGAUUAAUACCCUAAUUGGUACCUAAAUUUGGUUUUGAUGUUCAAUUUGGUAUCUGUGUUUGACUUCAAUGUUUAUUUUGGUACCUAAGUUUUUUCAAUUUGAUACUUGAGUUUUAGUUUGUCCCAAUUAAGUACUUAUGUUUGACUUCAAUGUUGAAUUUGGUAUCUAAAUUAUUUUUUUAUGCCAAUUAAGGAUGUAUUUGAUAAACUAUUGAAAAUAUUUAAUAUUUAAAUGUUAAAUUUGGUAUAAAUUUAUUAUUUGUCCCAAUUUAAUAUUUAAAUUUGCUUGAUGAUCAUUUUAAUUUUUUAUUUAAUGUAAAAAUUUCAACACAAAAGUGUUGAAUAAGAUAAAUAGGUAGGUAACUACUUAUCACUUAAUGUAGAAAUAUUAAGUUAAUUUUAUUUAUUAAAAAUUGAAAUAAAAUGUCUUUUUUUUAGUAAAAAUGAGAUAGUCAAAUUAGCAUAUUUACCUCUCACCCAAAACUACCCAAAAUAAUAUAAAAUAUUAUAUUAAUAAGUUUAAAAUUUUUAAAAAAAUUAAUCUUUUAAAAAUCAACAUUUACUUUUAUCAAACAACAUAAUUAUGUUCAGUACUUAUAUUUACAAUUUUAUCAAACAAAUUUCUAAUAUAAAUUCAGCACUUAUAAAAUUUAACAGUAAAAAUUCAGUACUUAAUUUUUCAGUACUUGAAAUUUUAAUUUAUCAAACACUUCCUAAGCAUUUAUUUAUUUUAUUACAAAUUCAUGUAUCUAUAUGCUAUCAUACUAUUGAUAAGUACUAAUUUAUGUUAACCUUUUUAAGGGUGGGUAUUUGGUAUAUUAGUAGUGUACUUUUUUUUUGAACAAUUUUAUUAUAAGUUCUGAUCAUAUUUGCUCUUUUUAAGACAAUACCUAAAACUACUAAUAACCCCUCCCCAGCCGAUAAAUAGGAAGACAAUGCGUUUCAGCGCACUCGAACUCAUGUCUUUCUACAUUGACAAUAAUGUUCAUGCAAUCGAGCUGAGACUCAAUUGAUUACUUUUUUUUAUUUAUUUCACAACUAAUUUUAGAAAAUUAAUACUUGUUUCUUUUUAAAAAAUAUAUAUUUUUAAUAAUUUACUAUACCUUAUAGGACACUUGUAAAUCUCUUAACCUUACUUGUGAAGUUUAAAAGCUCUACUGGCAAUGUACAAAAUAUUUUCCCCUUUUUUUAAUAUCAUAUCAUGGGGUGAGUAUUUGAUAUAUUGACAAUGCACUUUUUUUAUUUCACAAGUAGCCUUAAAAAAUAGACACAUGUCACUUUUUAAAAAUAUUUAUUUCUUAAUAUUUUAGUAUUUCUCUCUAGGCCAUUUGUCAAUUCCCUAAUAUCACUUGUGCAGAUUAAAAACUUCAAUGUAUCAAAUAAUUUUACUCUUGAUAGAAAGAUUCUUUUUUUUUUCUUUUCAAAUCGUAAAGGAUGUGCAACGGCUUUUUUUUUUAAAAGAAAAUGCGUUUCAACGUACUUUGGGCGAGAGUAGUACAAGGAUGGGUGACCUCCUGGGAAGUCCUGGUGUUGUACCCCUCCCAUUUUAUUUCAUAUAAUGUUUUUUUUAGUUGCAUUUUCUCGACGUGGUGUAACUCAUUCGUUAUUUGCGUUUUCUGAAAUAAAUAACUUGAAACGAUAUUUGGUCGAAUUUGCAUUUAAAUUCAAGGCGCAAGUGCGAAAAGGGGCAGCCUUUAUAUGAAAAGAUUGCGCGAGAGUUGACGGGUGCGAUUAUACCAGCACUAAUGCAACGGAUCCCAUCAGAACUCUGUAGUUAAGCGUGCUUGUGCGAGAGUAGUACUAGGAUGGGUGACCUCCUGGGAAGUCCUCGUGUUGCACCCCUCCCAUUUUAUUUCAUAUAAUGUUUUUUUUUAGUUGCAUUUUCUCGACGUGGUGUAACUCAUUCGUUAUUUGCGUUUUCUGAAUUAAAUAAUUUGAAACGAUAUUUGGUCGAAUUUGCAUUUAAAUUCGAGGCGCAAGUGCGAUAAGGGAACCUAUUUUCUCUUGUAUUGACAACAACAUCCAUACUUAAUUGAACUAAAAUUUAAUCCGCAAAACAAAAUUCAAACUCAAAACAUUUUCCCUUGAUAGAGAGAGAUAGAAAGGAAAAAGUAAAUGAAAAAUGGAGAAAAGAGGGGGCCCUUUCCUUCACAAUGUCAAUCAUUUUAUCUUUUUAUCACUGUUUCAGAGUAGUGUAUAGGUGCAUGAUGAACCCCCUGCUUUUAAUCUCUUUCUCUUUUUCUACCUAUAUAAACACAUGAUCUCAAAUUUCAAAAUUCAUUCAAAGUUCAAGUUCAGUGAGGGAAAGAAAGCAGCAACAAUGGAAGAGAAUAAGAGAGAAAAGAAAACAGCGGGCAAAAGAGGGUUAUGGAAAGCUGAAGAAGACUUGAUUUUGAAGAACUAUGUGGAAACUCAUGGUGAAGGCAAUUGGGCCAAAGUUUCCAAAUUAUUGGGUAUGCACAUCUUCCCAUUUUUUAUUUAUCGAGCUUCUUGAUACCCUUUUAUAUUUCGGUAGUCUCAUUAGGUUUUGAUUAAAUUUGAUCUUUAAAUAAAAAAUUGUUGUUUUUUUCAUCUACAAUACUUGAUGUACUCGUUUAUGUUAAUUCAAUCUCUAAAUGAAAAAACAUUAUUUUGUUCAUCCACAAAACUCGAAUGUAAAAUCAUAUUUAUCGAAUUCCUUACUAUUCGAUACAAUUGUUUAUAUUAAUUUCUGUGUAUGCAUAUACAGGGUUGAAGAGAGGAGGGAAAAGUUGCAGGUUGAGAUGGAAGAAUUACCUAAGACCAAAUAUAAAAAGAGGUGCAAUGUCUAAGGAAGAAGAAGACCUUAUUAUUCGUAUGCAUAACCUUCUUGGUAACCGGUUAGUUUUUUUUAAAUGUUGUUUCGAAUUUAAAAUUUAAUCGUUAUACUUUAUUUUUACGUUAAUUGAUUUAAAUAGUCGACACACGAUUAAUUAUUUUAAUUAAUAUUGGGGCAAACAUUUUAAUUUAUUUGGAUUUAUUAAUGACAUUAAAAAAAUAAAAGAUUAAGUUAUGAUAAAUUAAAGUUUUCCUACUCUUUCACAAAAAAUAGUUUAGGGACUAAAUUCAAAACUAAAAUUAGGGGGUUUUUUGAAAAAAAAUGUGGGUGGGGGGCUCUUUCCAACUUUUAGUAAUGUGAUCACUCACUCCAUUUCUCAUAUGAUUUAGUAUACCACUUUAUAUUGAUGGUAACCAAUGUUUUAAAUUUAUUUAUUUAUUGUUAAUAUAUACAUUUAACCCAAUUAUUUUCUAUUUUUGUUCAUCUUCAUCCAAAAAAUUUCAAAAUUCAAUCUUAAUGAGAAGGUUGAAUAAUUCAGGUUUUGGUCCCUUGAUUAAUUGGUCUAAUUCACUUUUAACCCCUCUUAAACUUUAAUUAUUCAAUUCAAUCUUUUUUAGCCUCUUUAUUUAAUGAAAAUUUUGUAUUUUUAACCCCUAUAAAAAUUGAUAUUUUAAUCUAAGCCAUUUUGAUAGAAAAAUAUUUAGCUUUACCCUUUGAAUUUUUUAAAUUUUAUCCCAAAUUCCCCCGCCUCUAUAUGAGUUGUCAUCAUACUAAUAUGGUAAAAUUACUUCUAAAGUCCUUUAAAAUUAUAAAAUUGUUUUUUUAACUCCCAAAAAUUUAUAAUUCAGUUCAAAUCCUAAAAUUUUUUUCCCAAUCUUCACCCUUAUUGUUAUUUUAAUUUAUUUUAAUUAUAGUUAUUUGGAGAUAUUAAUUAUAAUCAUAAUUUUUAAUUAUAUUCAAUAUUUAAAAAAAAAACCUUUUUAUUGUAACAAAAUAUGUAGAUGGUCAUUAAUAGCUGGGAGAUUGCCUGGUCGAACUGAUAAUGAAGUGAAGAACUAUUGGAAUACCCAUUUGAACAAGAAAACCAGUGUUUUAGGCAAAAGAAAAGGCAAAGCCAUUGAUGAAUCCAACCAUCAAUCUAUUCCCAAUCAUCAAAACAACACCAAUACCAACAUUGCAAUCGAGAAUCAAGGCGGCGAAGAACCAAUAGCGCCACCGCCGGCCGAGCUGCCAAUGAUUUCGAGUCCGAAAACGACGACGGACGAUGAAGGAUCGAUGGGUUUGUUGAAGGUCGAUGGGUUAACUGAUAAUACAUGGAUGGAACGUGCGGUUCGUUGCUUUGAUUAUGAUUAUGAUAAUAAUUAUGAAAUUGAAACUCCAUUGAUGAUGAUGAACAAGAACCUUAAUUAUGCACAUAUGGUGUUCGACGAAGAGCCUUUUACGCCUUGUUUGGAUUCUUUCGUUCUUUUUGAAGCAUUCGGGACGGAUUCUGAUUUGGGAAAAACCCAACCGUUCUUGCCUUAGAACUAUCACCGCCGUCUCUGCCGCCGGUUUGCUGGCCCGGGAGUUGUUUUGUGUUGAGCGAGUAAAACUAGUGAAAAAAAAAAAGUGGGGGAUUAUAAUUUUAACUUAAAAUCCCAUAUGCUUAAGUUAAAAAUUAUAAUUCUUUUCUUGGAAAAAAAACUUUUUGUAGGAUUCAAUUUUAAAAAUUUAAAUGUUUUGUUUUAUUUUAUUUUAUUUUUUGUAAUAUCGGAAAUUCGUGUAUUCGUAUCAUGUAUAUGUUCGUAUUGUGUCGUACUCGUGUUUAAAUCUAUUAAAUGUUUUAAUAUUAUUUUCGAUAUUAUCUAUUUGUAUCGUUUUAUAUUUUAUUUUUUUCGUAUUAUAUUUAUAUAUAUAUUAAUAUAUAAUUAUCAUAAAAGAAUCAUGUAGGAAAAUAUGAACGUGUUAAAAAUUUCAAUUUCAAUUCUAAUUUUAUUUUUUUUCUUUUUCAUAAUCAAAUAAUGAAGUUGUUUACUAUCUGAAUACAUGAUAAAUUAGAUAUGUAUAUGCAUAUAUUGUACAGUCUAUGAAAAGUUUUUGCUUAUAAAUAUGGGAUUUUAUUAGUAAACACAUACACUAGUUUUUGGUUCAUAAAGUUUUUUAAUAAAAAUUAGUUUUUGUUAUAUAAUUAUAAUUCGACCGGAAAUUAAACCCGGUAUAAUAAGAGGCAACAGACAAUCCAAAGGAGGGGGCUUUAUCCUCUAGACUAGAACAUCAUCAACUUUCAUCUUGACUUUCGAUUUUGACCUCUGUGAUACCGUGUAUCAACAGACUCAGAUUAUCUUGUAAGCACUACUCCUAAACAAUAAAGUUCUGUUGGAUGAAAAUUAACAACCCUAAUACUCUAAUUCAAAACCGACCCAAAGUCGAAAUUGAUUCAAAAUUUUGUGCAUCAAGCUACCACAUAUUCAAUAUUUUCACUAAUGUUUCUAGGAACAGCCUGCUUUGCCAUCUAAAUCGGCUCGAAAACAGAAUGGUUUGCGUGCUAGAUUGUGUAAUGUCGCUUAUGUAGGAUGAGAUGAGACUGGUUGAUAUCCGCAUUACUUCACUGUAAAUCGGAGAAUGCGGAUGACUGACUUUUCCGGUAGCACGAUCAAUCUGAAAAUGGUUGAGAGUCCAUGCAGAGGUGCACCAAUUUCCUUUGAUAUUGACCAUAAAAUUCACCAACUGCAAUAACAUCUUCAUACUCUGGGUUUAAACCAGGCAAUUCAACCAUUGUAUCCUUAUUUGAUGAUGACGCUGACUCAUCAUCUGAACCUAAUACAUUAGUGAUAAUGUCUGCAUGAAUUUCGCGGCAAGCUAUUAUGAACAUGGAAGCCGUGUCCGGUUGUUGUGCCUUCCGGAGGGCUGCUAAUGCCUCCUGCAUUGCCCCGGCCGCAACGAACAAAAUCAGUGCCCUGCAUUGAACCGUCUCAAGCUUAAGAACAAAAAAAGAUUGUGCAUUCGGUAAUAAGUUCGAUACGGAAAUUGCUUGUACACCUCCAAAUGUUGUGUUCUGCAGAAAGGACAUGAUCAGCCCACCUUUGUAAAACCCUGCAAAAACAACAAUCCGAAAUGAAGUUGCGGUAUAAUCAAAGGCAAAGUAACUUAAAGGACAAGAAAUCAGAAACCUUGCAUAAUCAGAUCCCUUUAAAUGUGCUGCUGCUAAAGUAGCAGCAUCAGUCCAGCAUCCAGCAUCUUGUAGCUGUGUAAGAGUUAAAAGAAACCAUAGGAUGAAAUACUCGAAACAGGAAGAUGAAUACGAAGAAUCCCUACGGUUGUAUAAUGUUGAUAAACAAGUAAAUGGGAAGCAUUGAGUUUGAUUUCGAUAGUUGCCUUAUUGUUUCAACAAACAGAACCUAACCUGUGAACAAGCUUCUUGAUACCUUCCAACGGCACAGAGAAGAUGAAUGCCGGAUAAUGACCGGUCGGUUCUCACCAUGUUAGCAGCAACAACCUAGAUGGAUCAAGAUUCUAAAACCAAGAAAACGACAUGUUUUAAUCAAAGAGAAAAAUGAAUUCAGGGGCAACACUCACCUUAACUGCAAGCUCAAGAAGAGACCUUGACACUGCAGAUGAAAGAGCAACAGCACGUAGAGCAUUCGGAUAGAAGUAAGGGCUUUCCGGUGAAGUGGACAGCAAUAAACUAACAGCACCUUCCAAAUUCCCAACCGAGACAAGACUGUUCAUGACGCAUACAAGUUAUGGUUACUACUGUGGCAGCCAUAGAAUAACACAAGAAUAUGUAUUUGGACAUGGUUAUGUGUCCAACACGAGCAUAUUCGAGUUUUUUAAGGUUUUUAUGUAUUUGGAGGGUCUCCUCGUAUCCCCAUACCCUAGAUAUGUGUGGGACAUUGGUGUUGGACACUUGAGUACUUCAAGAAAAAUGCGUAUUACAAUUACUAGUGUAAUUGCAGCGACUUCACCGAUCAACAUUUAACCGUAGCAAUGAAGUAACAUAAAGGUUGUGAACUCACUCGUGUAUACGGUUCUGAAUUGCCUCUUCUCCCUCCAAUUUCUCAUGCCAAGGGAUACGCUCAUUAGCACUUUUCCAUAAGUCUUCUUGGUCAAAAGCCAUUAACCUAAGCUGACCUUUACUCUGCUACCAGAAAACAUGUGUUGCCAACAAAAGUUAUGCAAGACCCCUAAAUGGUAACCUCACCCUUUGAACCAUUAGAACAUAGAACAGCUAGUAAACCAUUAAAGACUUACCAAAGCAUCCCCCCAUCCGGUCUCAGGUGCCAAUUUCCCCUUUGAUGUAAUUCUACUAAGUAGAGCUGUGUCAUCAAGCUCUGAAUCUUCCAAAAAAGGUACCUUCUCCGGAGACUUUUUUACUAAUUUACUCAUCAAGUGGUUCAUAGCACGAGGCAAUUGCAACCAGAAAAGUGCUUCUGAGACCUCACCAAAUGUAGCAGCUGCAAAGGCAAACCUUGCAGCACAACCCUUAUUGACAAUGGUGGCAUACAAUCUAGCCCUUUCCUCAUCAAAUAUGCAGCCUUGAGCAAUGAACCAAUGGGGAAAAAAAAAAGGGAUAAGAAAAAAACCAAUCAAAUUUUCAAUAAAAGAAUUAGGUACACACUGAAUAGGUUGUAGGAAACCUGCCUUCCUUCCGGUAAGGUUCUAAUACUUUGAGGAGCAAUUCUGGCACUACAGAAUCACCGACAGGUGGUAAUUCGAUCAUGUAACUGCGAAGAUCCCCCGUGGAUGAAGUAGUUCUUGUAAUGGAUUGGGGCCUUCUAUCUAUAGCUGUUGUACCUAAAGUAUUAAACCAAGAGGGUUUUACACCUAACUGUAAGAUCAUUCGCAGUGCCUGUAAUAGAAGACAUGAAAAUAGAUCAUUCUUUGAAUACUCAUUUAACCUUUGACGCAAUAUACAAUUAAAAUGAAGCUUUCACAGUAAGCAGAAACAAGGUCAGUAUCCUAUUGCAACUCAAGGUAAAUUACUAAUGCAGUUACUAGUUAGCCAUUAGUGUAUUAACUUAGCACCAUGUAAAUGCACAACAUGGUACCUAGUAAUAUCAAUUACUAAACCAUAAAGGGAAGAAUAAUUCUUACCAAUGCAUGAGGUGUCGGAAGCAAUAUGGGACAACAUAAAGGCAUCGGUCGGAAUCUCUCUUUUAGAUUUCGAGGCUGCCGUCCAGGGAUCCUUCUCUUAUCAUUUCUGUAUGAAUGAGUGAGGUUACUGAACUACAGAGUAAGUGAGCUUUCACAUGAAUCAUAUAGCAUAACAUUAUUCGUUUCAUCUCGAAACUAAUGCACUGAUUGUUUUCAUCACGUACCUAACCUUUCCAUCUCUUUGCUAGCCAUUCCAAACCUAUCACACCCUGAGUAAAUUAAUUUACAGUAACAAACUAUGUUGCCCUGAUUGUUCUUUUCUUUAAGUACCGUGUCCAACACUCAUGCCUAUACUCACCCAGGUUCGAGUAAGUUAGGUUAGGUCUUCUUUGCACCAUGUAAACUAGAUCUAACUACAAUGAAGAGAAGAUUGAGAAUUGUGAACAAAUUGUGGCACAUACAUGUUAACCUCGUAAAGGCGGAAGCUACUAUCAGCUCCUGCAAUACACAAAACCAGUGGAUCAUUCUCAGUCCACAAAGGCAACCAAUCCAAUUCUAAUACAAGGGUUCCAGGACAUAGAGGUUGUAAAAGAGAAUUGACUAAUGGUUCUGGCGAAUCCUGCAAAUACCAAAAUAUUGAACAUUAAGUUCAAAUGUAGAAAUACUCUUCCAAAGGUCCUCCAGGAAGCCCCGUUGAAGGGAAGAAGCAGUGGUAAAUGCAUUUUGACACUUACAAGAUCAAAUACAGAAAAUGUAUUGUCAUAAAAUAGUACGGCAAUGCGCCCUCGACUAUGGUCCCCAGCAACAGCGGGUGAGAAUUUGAUUCUUCGGAUUCCUUCUCUAUGAGUGUUAAAUGAGGAAGAAUGUCCAGUAGUUACAUCCCACCACCUGACGACUCCUGACCUGUCCCCCAUAACCUGAGAAAUGAAUGAUGUUAGUGGCUACAGAUAUAUCUUCAAAGAAACAAGAAAAUAUAAACUACCAAUUGGAUGGGGUCAUUUAAGAUACAAUACGUACAACAUGAGGCAAGCGGUAUGCCAUGGCUGUAAUCAAUCCAUCAGAUGAAACAAAUGAAGAAGAAGGCCAUUUUGGUCUGCAGACAAGCAAAUGAUCCUUGUUAAUGCAAGAGUUACAUCCUUUCAAUAACAUGUAGACAUAAGCUGGCUCCAUAACCAUGAGUAUGAAUACAAAUUAUACCUGAAGUCUCGAAUCCUCCGGCCAUGAACCUCAAAGACUCCAAGUGCACCAUUAACUAAGGCAAAAGCAAAACUCUCGGAACUGUCGUCGUGCGAGCCAUCCGAGCUCCCUGUCUCUGCAUAUGGAAGUUACACUCAUAACCGUGUAACCCUUCAGGUGAGAACAGUGGUCUAAAUACUGAUUGAUGGGAAGUAAAGAAUCCUACUAGUAUCCGAUGAAGAUGCCGUUGUGGAUGAGGCUGCCUCUUCUGAAGCUGCAGCUGCAUUACCGUUAGGGGAUAAUGGAGAUUGCUUAGAGGGACCAUUUUGAACUGGUCGGGGAACUGUUGGAAGAGUCCAUUCCAAUACCGUGAACGGAAGAGCUAAUGAUCUAAGCUACAUGGAAGUAUAGGUCAUGUUAAUUUAUACAUGUUUGAUCGGAAAAAUCAGAAUAAAAACAAAGUCAACGAGAAAAAAAAUCAAGCACUGAAUUUAAACCAUAAGGUGAUUCUGUCUCAAUAUAAGAGAAUCCUUCAUCUUGCUACUUUAUUACUGGCAAUUUGCGAAGCCAAAUGAAAUGUCAUAAAGCCAGCAAUCAAGUCAAAAUAUAUUCAUACAGAAAGGGUAUAUAGUGAAAUAAAGCUCACUGGACAGUGGCUAGAAACCACAAAAUAAGAAGUUAAAUAUCAGAAAUGUUACAACCCAUAUAGAGAAAACCUUAAGUAACAAUCAAACUUACCAUAAUUGGAUUUUUUGUCAUUGCCCAAACCUCAACAGGUGCAUCACGAAAUACAAUCAGAAGAUACCUAAAAAGGUUAAAACAUGACAGUAUAUCACAUACUUUCUGAGGUCUCUUGUCUACCACCAAUGCUAAACCACUCCCUUAAACCAAUAGAGCAAGUGGUUGAGGCUCUCUGUUGGCACCCCAAGGAUCAGGGUUCAAACACGGCUACUGCCAUCCCCUCCCGAAAUUGUAAAUAGUAAAAUGUACCAAAAAAGCAAGAGAAUUUAGGAGUAGAGAAAACCUUCCAGAGGAUGAUGCCCUCAAAGCUCUUACAGGUGCACGUUCUGGCUUUUGUAAGGCCCGGAAAGUUCUAUUAAGUCCACUUCUAAGACAAGUCACAACAAGUCUGUUAUUGUAGCCUCCAAUUUUCUCACUCACCUGACUCCACAAUAGUACUAAUAUUAAGUAAUAAAGCAAAUGAUGUUGAAGAAAAAGAAAGGUCGGCCUAGGGAAAGUAGGAACUAAUUACUAGCUAUCAAUGCACAAAACAAGCAACACUGUUGGAAACUUAAUAUGUUUACCUCUGUGUAAGAAAAUGAAACCAGCCUUGAAUUCCCAAGCCAUCUUAGACCCCUCACUUUACUACUAUGAACCGAAAAUCCGGCUGCAACGGCAUUGGCGGAGACAUCGAUGACAUCAAUUGUCCCAUUUUGAGUACCCAAAGCAACUAGUGGAACAGCUACUGCAGGGCUAUUUCCACCACCUUUCGCAUAAUAUCAUGUGAUUAAUCAACUUGUAAAAAGCUUAUAUACUGGCAAUUGUUUGAGAAGAAGUUUAACAAAAAAUUGAAAUUCAGAAGGUGGAACUAACGGGCCAAUGUAGCGGUUAAAGAAGGGGAUGGCACUGCCAGCAUGGUCACUGUUGAAGAAAGAAGCUGAAGCUGUCCUACUAAGCUAAUCUGCAGAAGUUAUUUGGCAUUGAAGUAUGCAUGAUAAAGCCAAAGAAUUUGUUCGCAUAUAUUAGCUAGCUUUCAUCUUGUUCAUCCAUGUGCAGCUAUGUCAAUAAAGUUUCACUAGGAAGUUGUUUCAUACACGGUCAAUGCGUUAAAUAUAAACCCAGAAAUUAAAUGGACCGUUUAUUUGCAGACCUUAAAUGUCACAUCGGGUCGGGCAUCGGUCGAGUUUGACUGCUGAAUUCUUGCACCAUUCACUUUGUGAAGCUGCCUGCCACCAUCUGCAGUAGAUUCAUCAUUAGAAGAAACUGUGGUGUUUGCAUUAGUUGAUUCUUCAAAGACAUUGGCAUUUCUCCCUGAACUUAUAGCACCAUUCUGCAUAUCUCCAGUCCCUUCAGCGGUCAAUAUCCAGCUCCAUAGUUUGCCAUCAUCAGAAAUGGAUAUCAAAUGUGUUUUAGAAACAAGGAGAGUAUCAUCACAAAAAUCAAAAGGGUUAUCGAAAUCAAUAUCAGAUGCAGCAGUUGAUAAUUUAGAACAAAUCUUGCUGAUGUUUUGUAGUAUGGGCUCUGAUUGGCUGAUAAGGACUGAAAGGAAUGAUGGUGAAGGGACAUAUGAACCAAAUGAUGGCAUCAAGUCUUCCAUUGUGCACAUUAUAUGUAUCUGUUCUCUGUGAUAUAAUAUCCAAAUAAGUACAUUCCUUUUUGUGAUUUAAAAUGUCAUUAACAUCUAAACUCAGUAAAAAAAGAAGUAUCUAUAUAUCAAUAUGAUUUAAAAUGUGAAGAAAAAAUAAAAAUCUGAAGCUUCAACUUGCAGUGACAACAAAGUAUAUCACCAUGGAGAAAGAAUGGUAAAAGUACUGAAUAGGUCCCUAUACUAUAGUGCAGAGUGCUUUUUGCUCCCUAUACUUUUACAUUGAGAAAAAAAGGUCUCUAAAUGUUAGAAAAACAAGCAAGAUAAUAAUUUUUUAAUCAAUUAGAAAGAUUAUUAAUUCUACGAGAAUGACUUAAUUAUAUGAUAUGGUAUUAAUUUAGAAUAUGAUUAAAUGAGGUGACGACCAUUGUAAUUUAAAAGAAUUUAACUCAACCUGAUUUGAUACCUUACAUUUAAAUGUAAUAGUUUGAGUUUUUAAAGUUAUAAUAUAUUGAUUGAACAUAGCAUGUUGUAUUUUAAAUUGUUAUAAAAGUAUCAUUUUGCUCAAUUUUCUACUGUAUAUGGACUUUUUUGCUAAUUUUAAAAGUACAGGGACCAAAAUAUUUCUUACUUUACGUCGCAUAGUCCCUAUCUCGUAAGAACCUUCUUUGAAACAUUUCCUAAUUUAGUCACAAAUUUUCUCAUUCCUUAAAUGACCCAAAAUACAGCGCAUUGUAAAUUAGUGGUCCAGUUUUAGUUUUAGUCUCUCUAAUAUAGUUAAAUAUGACAUUUAGUGGUCCUAAUUCCGAGACUAAUGUGAACAAAAAAAAAUUUCAAGGACCAAUGUGGAAAAUUUUAACUAGUUCAGGAAAAAUACGUAAACAUAAAAUGGCGUCAAGUUUACAAUGCAUAAAGUAUCCUAGUAAAAAAAAUUCAAGGACCACGGUGGAAAAAGUUACCUAGUAAAGGGACUAAAAACAGAAUUAGACCUAAAUUUGAAGUAAGCUAUUUAAUAGCGACAAGUUUAAAUUUCAGUAAAAAAUACGUAAACAUAAAAUGCUUACUCUUUCCUUUGCCAGAUACUGAGCUUCCCAUCGAUGUGAGCACAAUAAACCAGCUCCUGGUUUGUGUCGGGUAACACAUCAAGGAACUUGGAGCACCCGCGAGGCAAUGCGGCGGAGAACAGCGUCGUUUCGUACUUCAUAUCGAAAACCACCAGUUCCCGAGGGAACGUCACGUAAAUCACAUGUUCCCAGUGCGGCGAAAACGCCAAACGCACCGCGUACAGGGGGAAAACGGCGGAAGCGGGAGUCGAAGUAGAGCUCCCGCCGGUAGCGGCGGCGGCGGCAUCUUUUUCUAGCUUAAGUAUUUCCUUACAUUUGGUUCGGAUCAAAAACUUCUUGAGGGCAAUAUCUUCUUCUGAUUCUCCCAACACUUUGAUGGAAAGAAGGAAUCCUUUGAGUCCGAUGAUACACAAGUGGCGGGAAUCGAACGGAUCGCGGCGGACGCAAGAGAGAUAUUCCGGCGAAGCGUCAUACUUGAAGAUGAAACGGCAAGUGGAAGUGUUGUAGAGGGAGAUGUGAGAAGGACCGGAGAGGGCGGCGAGGAGGAAAGAAUCGGGUCGGGCCUGGACCCAACAAAGGUCCUGGACACCCGUUUUAGAAGAAGGAUCUGGCGGAUCGAUGGAAAGGAUGAUUGAACGGAGGCGGAAGUCGAGGAGAGAGAUACGGCCGUGGCGGUCGGCAGCGGCGAGGAUGAGGUGAGAAGAGGAAGGUUCGGUGGCAAGAAGGUCACGGCGGGGAGGGAGAGGGGUCCACCGGACGGAAGUGACGAAAGGGGAGAGGGAAGCGGUGGAACUGGAGGAAGGAGAAUGUGAAGGGAGGGGGACAGUGGUGACGAGCUGGAGGGAAUUAGAGUCAACGACAGAGACGGAGGAGCCGGAGGCGAAGGCGAGGAGGCCGGAAGGGCUGAGAUCGGCGGAGCCGAAAUUGUUGCGGCUGGGCGGGCCGGGAAGCAUGCAAUUCCACGAUUCGUUGGGCAACGGUCGAAGUAUUGGACUCGACAUUUCUUUUCUGUAAACUGAAAAUUUGAAAAUUCGUUAAAAUUUUAUUUUUUUGUAAUGAUAUGACUUUCCCUCGUUAGUUAGUUGGUUUUAUUUGCUUAUCAUCAGGGUUAAUUUCAUCACAAGUCCCCAAACUAUGGAUCCAAUUUUAAAUCAAUCCAUAAACUUCAAAACAUUCCAAUCGAAUCCUCAAACUAAAGCAUUUUUCCAAUCAGGUCCUUCUAUCAGUGCUUUAGCAUCAAAUACCAGCCUGUAUCUCUCGUAGAUAAUACUAUAGUUUGAGGAUUCGAUUAAAACAUUUUUAAGUUUUUUUGUACCAAUUUAAAAAUUAGGUUAUAAUUUGAAGACAUAUAGUGUAAUUAACCCUUAUUAGUUUUCUUAUAAUUUUUCGUUAAGAGAACCGUUAAGCUUGCCUGAGACGAGACUCUAGCCUGAAAAUACUCCUUGCAAGGAAAUUGCUUUAAUUUUACACUCUUUUUUCCCCAAAAAUAGUAUUUAUUUGCUUUAUUUUUUCCCUAUUUUAAAAUUUUAAAAAUCAAAUAUAUAAAAUAAAAUUUUGAGAAUGCCGAGUUAGUCUUGAAAUUGAUUUUUCUGACACCGACGAAAAUAAAAGCAUUACAGUAUUGAUAUAUAUAUAUAUAUAUAUAUGUUUGGAUAUAAAGCUUUAGAUUGUAUUAAUUAAAAUUGGAAGGUUACAAAGUAUUAUCAACAAAAAUAAAAUUUUAGACAAAGUCGACUCGAUCUUCGAAAUAUUUAUUAUUUUAUACCUCUAAUAAAAUUAUGGUACCAUUUAGUAAAUUCUUUACGUGAAUAAGUGAGGUUCUUGAAAUCAACUAUCAAGUAACCUACAGUAGAAAUAUCCUUUGACAUUCACGUCAUUUCUUAUUGCAGUUUGGAGUUGAUGCAAAUGUUUUUGAAGAAAUUCAAUUCUGCUUUGAUUCUUAAGUGCCUCGGAGAUCGAUAUGCUAUCGUUGCUUUUCUCCCUAUAACCAUUCUCAGUAACGUAAAUUGUAAGGUUUUUGCUGUAGUUUUCCUUCAUAAGCUUCAGAAGUUUAGAAAGACGUCCUUUGGGAUAAACGUAAAGAAAUAUACUCCCUCCCGCAUUUGGACCAAUAAGGACUCCAUCUUUGUCAACUGUGGCAUUUUACAUUAGAAUCUACCAAGUAGCUAGCUGAUGCAGCAUUUGGAGUAGAUGGAAUGUUUUUAGCAUAUCUUGAGGUAUAAUAAUUGACGCCGAUGAAAUCAAAAGAUCCUUUGACUAGCUCAUUUUGUUCCAGUGUGAAAACAGGUAGCCUAUCUUUAACCAAUCUUCUCAUGCUUUCUGGGUAUUCUCCGUGCAUCAAUGGUUCCAUAAACCAUCCCAACUCAAAAUCCAUACCUCUUUUUGCUGCCUCUUUAUCAAGUGAUGUGUUUGAAUAUGGCUCAUAAUAAUGGGAAUUAAGGGCUAUUCCAAUUUGUCCACCUUGUGUUGCCUGGUACUCCUUUUUGUAAAGCUAAGCAGCUGUUGCAUGAGCAAGAAGAACGUUAUGGGCAACAAUAUGUAAGGUUCAGUGGCUGCAUUACCAUUGGGACAAAUUUUCCUAUCUGAACAUCUUCCCGGUGGACCCACUCCCAUGGCAUACCCCAUUUUGGCCAUAAUUAGUGGCUCAUUCAUUGUAAUCCAAUUUUUAACUCGAUCUCCGAAUGUUUUAAAACAAAUUUCAGCAUAAUCCUUGAAAUCAUUCACAAUGCUAUGAUUUAAGAAGCCUCCAUACUUGCUUUCAAGGGCUUCCGGGGAAUCAAAGUGCAGUAUUGUCACAUAGGGAUCGAUGCCAUUUUUAAUCAAGUCAUCGAUGAAACUGUUGUAAUGAUUGAUACCCUCUUGAUUUAUUCCACCACCCAAAGUUCCAUCGGCUAAAAUCCUUGUCCAAGGAAUGGAAAAUCUAUAAGCAUUAACGCCCAGGUCUUUCAAAAUCGAUACAUCUUCCUUGUAGCGAUUAUAUGAAUCAGCAGCUACCUCCAAGUUGCUAUUGUCUGUUUUUUUUUCUGGAAAUUCUCGAAUAAACUGGUCCCAAACACUCGGCCCUUUCCCUCUAAAUUUAGUUGAUCCUUCAAUCUGCACAGCAGCAGUCGAUCCUCCGAAAAGAAGAUUAUCCGGAAAAUCUGACCUCUUAACACUCACAUAUUCUUUUUGGGAUUCUUGAGUUGGUUGACAAUUGGAAGACAAGCAAGCAAGCAAAACAAAGACAAAGAUCCUUACCAAACACUUAGUUGCUGAAAUCGACAACAUCCCUUAUAACCUUGCAGUUUCUGCAGCACUUACAAGGUUAACAAUAAAAAGAAAUUAAAGCAUUCGAGGCCGACUGUGGAAGGAUUCAUGGAGGAACCACCUUUUAUAUAUGAGUACCCAUCAAACCUAUCUAACAAAAAUCCUAGUUUACAGUCAGUUACUAAACUAAUUGUCAAUCGCUAACCUGCUUAUCCCAAAAUAGGCAAUAUUUUAGUAAGUUUUAUAUUUAUACAAAUAUGUUUUAAAUUAUUAUAAUAUUUCGAUUUAGUGGUAAGAAUAUCGUGUUGUUGUGAUAUAUAAAAGUUUACAUUUAAUAUUUAGCAACAACACCCUCUAUAUUUAAUUAAUCAUACCCAUAUAUUUUGAAAUGGUGGUUGACAAAUCUUAUUAUUUAUUUAUUUUAUUCAUUCUUUAAUAAUUGAAUAAAUAAAACUCAAAGUCAUUAAACUAUUAGUAAUUUCAUUUUUUGGUCGCUCAAUUUAAAAAAAUUUAUCAAAUGAUGACUGAACUAUUUGAAAGUUUCCAUUUAACUGGACUGUUAAAAUCGUUGUUGUAUGACAUUUUCUAUUUGUACCGACUACAUCAAUUAAAAGCUCUUAUUCUCCUUCUCUUCUAUAAUUUAAUUCUUUUUUUCAUGAAACAAUUUUAAUAUCACAAAUUUGAGAACGAAAAUUCAAAUAGUUUUUUUUUUAUCUCUGAUAUUGACCGUCAAAUCCACUUAGAUUGAUAAGAACUCGGUUCGGUGUUGAUUCGAGUCAUUUAGAUUGCCCGAUCGUGAAAUUAAGUAAGUUGUUAAACUUAUAGCAAAAUAGGCUGGAAAAAUGAAGAAUAAGUUCAGGAGAAAAGGAUGCAAAGAGGGUUUAGGAAAAUGGAAUAUUAGAUUCGGCUAAGACCAAGAGUGAACCAACAAUAUAAGGGAAUGUUGACCCAAAAUUUAUACGGCACUUAAAGAUAAUUCGGUUCAGAAAACAGCAAACAAAAACCUUGACCCACCAUCUAACAAGAUAGGAAUCAAAGGUAUAACAAACGCCACACUUGAAGUGAUAAGUUCGGAUAUCAAAGGAACUAAAGAAAAUUAAAACAACUGAAUUAAUUAAACUAAACAUAUUAAAAGUUCAAUCCGGCAAUUAGAUUAACAAUCUGAAAUUGGAACUUCAUUUUGCACUUGAGCCCCUCGUGCUUGGGCCAAUUCCGACUUCGUCGAGCCGUAUCGUAACAUGAUGCGGCCGGGAUUGUAUCAUAGAUCCAUAGUAGGUUCUUUUAGUUGUCAAUGAAUACUAAUUCACAGUAUCGAUUAUCAAAUCGUAACUUAAAACUUGCUACUCAAAUUUAAAAAAAAAUUAAUGAUAUAAUGAUUUAAAUAAAAAAAAUUUAAUAAUUUAAGGACGUAAAUCAAUACUUUCAAAUAAUUCAAUAACUAACUAUUUUGUAACCUUUUAAAUUGAAUAUUUUAACUAUUUAAUAAUUUAUCUUUUUUCAUAAUAACAAAGCCAACUCAAACAAAGUAAAAGAGAGAAAGAGGGGGGGGGAUAAGAUGAGAUCAUAAAGAGAACCUUAGGUGUAACUAUAAGAUUGAUAAUGGCACUUGUGUAUAGAAGAUCAAAAUAAGGUUUUUCUCCUCAAGUUGACGCCUUUUGGGUUCAGAUUUUAGCAUGACAAAAUCUAGGGAUUCAGUCUCUAAAUAUAAUAAAAAGUAAAUAAUUAAAUAUCAUGAACACAACUUGAAAAGAAAAAAGGGUAAAAUUUCAAGCUUCAUUUACAAAAAUAGAGUAGUUGCAAUUGUACAGUUCAUAUACAAGGAGAAGCCUACAAGAUAUGAUGACUUGGAAAAAACUUACAAAAAAAAAAAAAAACACAACCAAAACUAAGGUUGUAGUAAUGGUGGAUGAGUCACUCAUCCGCCAUAACCAAAGAUCAUCAAUCUGUGAGUGUGACCACACCAAACAUAGAACUGUUCAAAGCCACCAUUACAUAACACAGAGACAAAAGGAAAUACAGACAAGACCUACCCUUUGAAAAAAAAGCAAGAUGAGAUUUGAUCUAAAACCAACAGACUUUUAUGACUGAAAACAAAAGCUAAAACACCGGGUAGCAGCAGGACGGAAAAAGCUAUGGUGGUGGUGGUGGUGGUGGUGAUCAUGAGUGGAAACCUAAAACCGGGAACCAUGGCUAUCGAGAAACAGGCUAGCUCAUGUGUCGGGAGAGCCUGUAAAAAAAAUAAAGGGAUGGUUUUAUAGGCCAUCUCUUAAAACUGUGCCAAAGUUCCUGGGAAACAUCAAGUGUAGAGCAACCGGCAGGACCACCUUGUCGGACCAAAAAAAAAAAAAACUGCAGCGAAUGUUUGCUACUACCCGGUCUUGUGAGCCGACUAUAUGAGUUUAAUGUUCAGAUCUCAACGGAGUUGUAUCCAUGAUUAGAAAAGGAUGUCACAUUUCCAUAGGGUCUCAACGAGCAGCUCAACGGUUCGAAUGCUGAUUGAAUUGCAGUGCUGGAGAUUUAACCCCAACAAUGUCUUGCCUAGUUUUUUCAAGGAAGACAAGCUUUUGUUUGAUACUCGGGAACAACCCGAAAAAGAAAGGACUUGUAAGUUGAGUUGCUCGGCACGAGACAAGGCAGCAACACCAGAAUCGGUAACUGCUGACCUUGAGACAUCCAGAUCACUGAGGAAAACACAACUUUCUGCUAUUGCCAUCAAACUUGCAUCCGUAAUCCUCCUGCAACCAUCAAGAUUGAGCAACUCAAGGGUUCCACCGUGCAGCCUGGUUAAGGCCAAAACUACUUUGUCGGUUAUAUUUAAGCAUCCGCUCAAAUUCACCUUCACGAGUCCAGCCUCACAACUCUCCAGAAGAGGCAGAAGACCUGCGUCCGUGAUCCCACACAACCCACUCAGAUCUACAUGCUGAAGCUGAGGGCACAAUCUGCCCACCACAGCGAGGCCAGCAGUCCCGAACCCAGGACAGUUCCUUACUGACAAUGAUUUAAGGGAAUUGCAGCACGACAAAGGAACUUCCGAGGAUAUAUCCUUAAUUCCCAUGCACUUUACUACGGUAAGGGAUUUUAACGAACAGUUUGAGAGGACACCAAUAGUCCCGGAUUGGGUGAUCCUGUUGCACUCCUCCAACUGUAAGGACUCAAGAGAACCUGCAGAUUUGGCAAAAGCCACCAAUCCGUCAUCCGAAAUAAAGCAACACCGGCGAAGGCACAUCUGCCUCAGGUUUGCACAUCCCUUUCCCAUGGCUUCAAGACUCACAUCUGUUACCCCCCGGCAGGAUAUGAUCGUCAAAGAGACCAACUUUUGUAAGCCUUGAGCAUUCCCCAUGACCCAAAAUCCCUUCUCGCUCACGUUUUCUAGGCCGCUAAGCAUUAGAUUUGUCACCGACUUGCCAUAGUGACCGAUCACAGCAAGAGAAAAGUCUGUGAUAUUCAAACCCUGAAAUUUAACCUUUGAAAGGACAGAAGAUGUUGACGACAACAGGCUUGAAACUCCGUGAUCCCCAACAAGAAGGCAGUCCUUGAUGGAGACAGACUGCAACUUAGGGCAAAGCUUUCCGAUAGCUUGAAGGCCUUCGUUCCCGAUCUUGGGGCAAGACUCGAUGCUCAAAGAGGUCAAAUUAGGGCAGUUCUCUGCAAUUGCAAUCAAACCCUUGUUUGAAAAUGAAGGGCACUGGCAAAGGUCAAGCUUCUCCAACAAAUGGCAUUCUUUAGCUAUCUCAGAGAGACCUUCAUCCCCAACACGAGGCACGUUCCACAAAGAAAGUGCCUUGAGAGAAGGGCAACCACGAGCAAUGGCUGAUAGCCCGAAGUUGGUUACUCCACUUGAAGAGCUGCUUCCCCUAAUUGAAAGCUUUCCCAACCCACCAUGACCACUCGUUCCAACAGCAACUGCAGCUAGCCUCAUGUCAGUUGCUUUCUUCCCUUCCAAGCACCUCGUAAGAUACCCAUCAUCUUCAUCAGAAACUGAAUCAGUAUUCUCCUUGACCGCCUUCGAGGAUUCGUACUCACCCUUGCGAAUACUGAUCAAAAGCAUAAGCCAGUGCUUUGAUACACAAGCACAAGAACUCCUUUCCCUGCCGCCUGGAAGUCGUUUGAAGAUCUCGAAAAGGCACUCGUCAGGAAGGACAUCGAUUGAAGCUUGCUUGCUCUGCUCAAACAAAGUUUCUCCAACAACAAACGGGGCAGUAAUUCGAGCUCUUUUACGAGGAGGAUAGUAGACAUCCACUUGGGAACUGAUUGAACACAACCUACCCAAAUCUGUGGAAUUUGUAUAAAAAGAACCCCCAGAAUAGAAAUCAUCAUCACCUGAAAUUCCCAACAAAGAAAAAUCAAUAACCUAAAACUACCCAAAGAACAUAUAAAGCUCCUUCAAGGAUCUAAUCCAAUUCUCAAAUCAUAUAUUCAAAGCUAACCCUAAGCUAAAACAAAAAUAACCCGUAGCUCAAAAUCAAAACCAUGUCUCCUCAGUGAGACAUAACAUCAAACACAUCAACUACAACAACAAAGAACAAUCAAUAACCUAAAACUACCCAAAGAUCAUACAAAGCUCCAUAAAAUUUCCCACUUUGAUACAAAUCUUCAAGGAUCUAAUCCAAUUCUCAGAUCAUAUAUUCAAAUCUUGCCUGAGCUAAAACAAUAAGAACCCAUAGUUUAAAAAUAAAAAAAACCAUGUCUCUUCAGUUAGAAAUAACAUCAAACACAUAAACUACAACAACAAAACCUUUCAAUCUAGCAAAAAAAGAAAAACAGAUCUACAAAAUUAAAAAAAGCUUACCACCGUAAUUAACAAGAGCAGGCAUGGUUGAAUAAUCCCAAACAAAGAAUCUUUCAAUGAAUCCACCAACACCAAAACGCAACAAAACGCUAGCAAAACGCAAACCAAGUAUACCCUUUGAAAGCUUGAAUGCAUCUAAGAAAUUUGUUUAGAAGAAAAAAUUCAUAAACCCCAACAAGUAGGGCAAAAAAAAAGAGAGAUUGAAAGAAGAGAAAAAAAAAAAAGGAGAAACUUGUUUUUUGUGUUGAACUGAAACAGAACAUAAGAGGAUGUAUAUAUUUGGUUGGAAAAAACUAGGAAGAUGUCAUGUCUUAGAUUUUUUUUUUUUUUAUGUUUUUGUUGCAGAUACAUUAACUGACAAGUUCUGCUAUAUGCAAUGUAUCUUUCCAUAGAACCUGUCUUAUUAUUCUCUUUUUUUUAUUAUUUUCUCUCACUUUCUUUUCUAACCAAACAACCGGUUAACCCCUUUUGGCCUAUGUUUGCCCAAUUUUUAAGAUAAAACUUUGUAUGUGGUGGUGGAUUUGAAAUUGUUUGGUUUUCUUUUUCUUUUAUAUAUAUAUUUAAUUUCUAAUUAAAUAUAUAUAUAUAUAUAAACCACCAGAACUUAAUAUAAUCUUAACUUUUAAAGGAAGAAAUUUAAAUAAUUUAAAUUUAUAAUUAUCUUACACAUUGGAGUGACUUAAACACAGAAUGACUCGAACCAAAUUGAUUCGAAAAUCUUAAAAUUUUAUUUGAGUUUUUAAAAAUAUCCUCUUAUUAAUAUUUUAUAAAAAUAUAUAAAAAUAAAAAUACUUUUAUAUUAAUAAUUAUUCUAAAAACAUAUUUAAUUAAUAGUUUUUUAAAAAAAAAUUAACUGAGUUAACCUCCGAUUUAUUUGUGACAUUAAUUUUCAAUAAAUAAUAUUGAUUCAGAAUAUAAAAAUUAAGUAAAGAAUAUUUGUUUUAAAAAAAUUGGAUAACAUAAACCUCUACUUUUUUGAUAAUUACUUUAUUUAACUUUAGAAUAAAGAAAUGGCUAAUAUUGCAUUCAAGUAACAUUGAACUUAAUUAUGGGCGGUGCAUAAGUAAUUAUUUUAGGGACUUUGCAUGCAAGAUUCUUGAAGUAUCUUGCAAUUAUGAUUAAUUAUUUUUUUUCUCAAGUGGAGAAUAUCAUUUUCAAUUACAUCAUUUCUCUUUAAUUAUGAGUUUGAUUAAUGGAAAUUCUUAUUUAAGCAAAGAAUUGUACUAGGUAAAAUAAAACGAAACUCAUGUAUGGCCUGAGUUUGAGUCACGCUAAUCAUAUUUAUUAUUCAAGUUUUAUCUUAUUCUUGUGUUUCAACAAAAAAAAAUGAAAUUUGAAUUGGUAUUUUUAUUUCGAUUAAUUUAUACAUUUCUUUUUAAUAAGUAGUUUGAAUUUUAAUAUAUUUAUUUAGUUAAUUGGAAGAACUGAUUGAAUCGAUAAAAAAAUUUUAAAAAUUAAAAAUUGAAUUUUAGCAGUUACAAUCCUUUCUCAGUGCUGAUAAAAUGCAUGGGGUUGAAGAUUUGAUGAUGAAAAUAUCAUGGAGUCCUUUUUAUUAGGAGUUAUAUUAUAUUUUGUCUCUUCUAUUAGUCCUUGUAUAUUAGAUCAAUAAAAAUUGGUUCUUUUGUUAAAAUUUCUAUUCAUUUUUACAAUUAAAAAUUGGUCAUUGUAUGUCAAAAUGAGGUACACACAUGUAACUGUAUGACUAUUUUGUUAAUCACGUCAGUUUUUAACAAUAAAAAUAGAUGAAAUUUUAAUAGAAAUAAUCAGUUUACUCUUUAAUCUAACGUAUAAUGAAUAAUUUAACUCCUAACGCAUGGACCUCUAUAAUAUUUUUACCAAGAUAUUACUGAUAAAAAUAGAUAAAAAUUAACAUAUAUAUAUACAAAUUAUUUUUUAUUUUUUUAAUAUGUCUUAAAAAAUUAUAAUUAAUACACGUCUAAAUAACUAGAUCUAAAAUUAAAUCAUUACAAUAAUUUAAAAUAGGAAAACAAUGGGUUAAUUAGGGGAAAAAAAAGAAAAAGAAAAAAGAUGGGAAUAUGAAUUAGAGUUUGAUGGUUUAAAGGAACAAGUUGAACAAAGUGUGUGGUUUUUAUCAUGUUUGAUUAACUGUAUUUAGCCUUUAAAUUCAGACAAGUCUCCAAGGUUUCCCAACUAAGCCAACUUUGGAAUUUGGAAAUCCAGCUGCCUUUUUUACUUUAUUAUCAUAUUUAUGUCACAUAAUUAGCCAACUUGAUCUUAAAAUAAUAAUAUUAUUAUUAUUAAGAAAAACUAAUCAUACUUAAUCAAUGAAAUUAAAAUCAGGGUAAUUAUAUAGAAGUGAGCUGGACUCGGUUGAUUUUUUUUUUUUUUGAUUUUUCAAAUUGUUUGUGAUAAUUCGAUUUCAUUCUUUGAUUUUUUUUUAUAAAAUUAAUUUUAGUUUAUUGUUUUUGGAUAUUAUUUAGGAAAAUUUUAAAAACUUUUUAUAAAUAUUUUUUAGAAAACAACCCAUAGCACUUAUAUGGUUUUUUUUCUGUGUAGAGUUUUAAAGUUUUAGUUUGAAUUAAGCUUGUUUAAAUCAGAUCAGAUUGACCAGUCAAAUUUAUUGGAUCGAGAAUCAACUAGGGUACUGGUCUAGAAAAGGGAAUUGUUCUAGUUGAAUUGAAUUUUUAAUAUUUUUAUGAUUUUUUUAAUGAUUUAUUUAAUCGAACCAAUCGAAACGAUUACACCAAUUGGACCUACGAACCAUUGACCUAACUGGUUCUACCGUUGAUCCGAUUUUGAAAACCUUGGUUUGGAGGAUUUAUUUAGCUUUAGUUUGAGUUUAUAUUUGAAGAGGUUAUUAGUAUUAUUUAAACACAAUUAAUACAUCUAAAUAACUACAAUCAUAACCAAUUAUUAUAACGGAAUAUAUUUAGACUUAAACCAAGACCUACACAUAACAAAACUUAAUCCAAAGUAAAUACGAACCUUAAUCUUACUUGUAAAUAUAAAAAUAAAAUAAACAAAAAUUAAUUUCAAUAAUUUUAGUAUAAGGCCAAUUAAAGGUGAAAUGCAAAUUUUAAAAUGGGAAAUUUAAUUAAUUUUAGAAAAGUCCAUGCCUCUUAAAUUAGAUGGUGCAGUCUAUAUGGGAAUUGAAGAAUAUUGUCAAACAAUUCUCUCUCAUCAUUGUUCAACUUGAAUUGCCAUUUUCUAAGAGAUAUUUUAAAAUGGAAAAGAAAAUCUUCCAAGGAGAAUAAGUUACUCAUGAUUUACAUUAUUGAAAAGACCCCAAGAGAGUUGUGAACCAUUACCUUUUUAUGAACCAAUAAUUUUUUGACACACAUAAAUUUUAGAUUUACUGCCUUUCUAAUCACUUGCAAAAAGAUCUAUUUAGUAUUCUUUUUACUUAAUGUUAUAGUAUCGUUAUAGUAACUAAUUUUAUUGUCAUUGUUGUUUUUACACUUAGCACACAUAAACGUGCACCAUUCCGUUUUAUAUGAUUAUCAAUCAAAUAAAAAGUUAUUUUAUGUAUCAAUUCUUACAUCUCCUACUACUGGUGGAGUGACCGCGAGUUUUGGUAUGUUGGGGGAUAUCAUUAUUGUUAAACCCAAUGCCUAUAUUGCAUUUGCGGGUAAAAGAGUAAUUGAGCAAACAUUGAACAAAACAAUACCGGAAGGUUCUCAGGCGGCUGAAUAUUUAUUCCAUAAGGGUUUAUUUGAUCAAAUCGUACCACGUAAUCCUUUAAAAGGUGUUCUGAGUGAGUUAGUUCAGCUCCACGGUUUUUUUCCUUUGAAUCAAAAUUCAAUCAAGUAGAGUCUUAAGUGAAAUUUUUUUAUUUGUAGUGAAAAGGUAGUUAGUUAGUUUAUCAGAAUCAAAGUCAAAGCCCAUUACGCGGGCUUUGACUUUGUGACAAAAAAAGGAAUUGUCGAAAAACAAAUUAUGUGGAUAAUUAUUAUUAUCAUUAUCCGAUAUUACUAAUAAGUAAACCUCUAGCAACAAGAUAAAAAGCGAAUUUUUCCUUCUGUGAAAUGAAAAAUUUGGAGAGACAAAUAAGACGAAUUUUUAUCUUCCUCUAUUGCGUAUGUAUAUAUAAUUUAAAUAGCGAAAAAAAUAGAAUAGAANNNNNNNNNNNNNNNNNNNNNNNNNNNNNNNNNNNNNNNNNNNNNNNNNNNNNNNNNNNNNNNNNNNNNNNNNNNNNNNNNNNNNNNNNNNNNNNNNNNNAAAGGAGGGAAUAGUAUGUAUUUUUCGUUGGGGUUUUCCUGGAAAAAAUCGUCGCAUCUUUCUACGAUUCCUUAUGAAAGAUAUUCAGUCCAUCAGAAUAGAAGUUAAAGAGGGUAUUUAUGCUCGUCAUGUCCUUUAUAUGGAAAUCAGAGGCCAGAGGGCCGUUCCCUUGACUCGUACUGAUGAGAAUUUGACUCCGCGUGAAAUUGAACAAAAAGCUGCUGAAUUGGCCUAUUUUUUGCGUGUACCGAUUGAAGUCUUUUGAAAUGAAUUGCAGAAUAAAAGCUUUCUCGCCGGGAGGAAAAAGCUCAAUCCAAGAAUCCUCUUUUUUCUAUAGCAGAACUAAACUGAAGUUUCUUCAGAAUGCCCAUUCAAACCAAAGCGGACGUAUACGGAAGAGUCAUAACAUAAAAAAACAGUUUUUUUUGUCCACAAAAAUAGUUUUUUAUGCGUCUGUAAAUGUAAAACCGCUCAACUUAAUUCAGUAACAAAAUAAGCAAGAAAUCGAAAUACUGGAUUCAUCUCAUAUAUCAAAGUAUUUCGAAAUAAAGACUUUCGCUUUUUAUUUGCAAUAUUUGGAGUUGAUACGUGAGAUACAGAUAGAUCAUAUCUUGUAAAUUUUCUCUACUUUUCUUUUCUUAAUCGGCCCCUCCCCUUUUAUCCUUUCUUUUGUGCUCCUUAAGAACUAAAGAACUAAACAAGUGGAUUUCUUUCUUAUAACAUAAUGAUAAACGUAAUGAUAC